rnacentral:rRNA from 1 species
GACGAACGCUGGCGGCGUGCCUAACACAUGCAAGUCGAACGGGGUGUCGGGAGCUUGCUUCUGACACUUAGUGGCGAACGGGUGAGUAACGCGUGAGGAACCUGCCUUUCAGUGGGGGACAACAGUUGGAAACGACUGCUAAUACCGCAUAACAUAUUCGAGCGGCAUCGCUUGAAUAUCAAAGCUUUAUGUGCUGAAAGAUGGCCUCGCGUCUGAUUAGCUAGUUGGUGGGGUAACGGCCCACCAAGGCGACGAUCAGUAGCCGGUCUGAGAGGAUGAACGGCCACAUUGGGACUGAGAUACGGCCCAGACUCCUACGGGAGGCAGCAGUGGGGGAUAUUGCACAAUGGGCGAAAGCCUGAUGCAGCAACGCCGCGUGAGUGAAGAAGUAUUUCGGUAUGUAAAGCUCUAUCAGCAGGGAAGAAAAUGACGGUACCUGACUAAGAAGCCCCGGCUAACUACGUG